rnacentral:rRNA from 1 species
CUACGGAGGGAGCAAGCGUUAUUCGGAAUCACUGGGCGUAAAGGACGCGUAGGCGGGUUUGUAAGUCAGGUGUGAAAUCCUACAGCUCAACUGUAGAACUGCACUUGAAACUACAGACCUAGAGUAUGGAAGGGGCAGAUGGAAUUAGUGGUGUAGGGGUAAAAUCCGUAGAUAUCACUAGGAAUACCGAAAGCGAAGGCGAUCUGCUGGGACAUUACUGACGCUGAGGCGUGAAAGCGUGGGGAGCAAACAGGAUUAGAUACCCCAGUAGUCC